CUGACGCUGAAGGCGAAAGCUAGGGGAGCGAACGGGAUUAGAUACCCCGGUAGUCCUAGCUGUAAACGAUGGAUGCUGGGUGUGGGGGGUGUAAAUUCCCUCUGUGCCGAAGCAAACGCGUUAAGCAUCCCGCCUGGGGACUACGGCCGCAAGGCUAAAACUCAAACGAAUUGACGGGGGCCCGCACAAGCAGCGGAGCGUGUGGUUUAAUUCGAUGCUACACGAAGAACCUUACCUGGGUUUGACAUGCACGUGGUAGGGAACCGAAAGGGGACCGACCUUCGGGAGCGUGCACAGGUGCUGCAUGGCUGUCGUCAGCUCGUGCCGUGAGGUGUCGGGUUAAGUCCCGUAACGAGCGCAACCCUUGCCCUUAGUUACAAGUGUCUAAGGGGACUGCCCGGGACAACUGGGAGGAAGGUGGGGAUGACGUCAAGUCAGCAUGGCCUUUAUAUCCAGGGCUACACACACGCUACAAUGGCCGGUACAAUAGGUUGCGAAGUCGUGAGGCGGAGCCAAUCCUCAAAGCCGGUCUCAGUUCGAAUUGCAGUCUGCAACUCGACUGCAUGAAGCUGGAGUUGCUAGUAAUCGCAGGUCAG
rnacentral:rRNA from 1 species